ACAAGCGGUGGAGCAUGUGGUUUAAUUCGACGCAACGCGAAGAACUUACCAGGCUUGACAUCCCCUGACCGCGUAUGAAAGUACGUUUUCACCCUCGGGUGACAGGGAGACAGGUGGUGCAUGGUUGUCGUCAGCUCGUGUCGUGAGAUGUUGGGUUAAGUCCCGCAACGAGCGCAACCCCUACGUUUAGUUGCUAACGCGUGAAGGCGAGCACUCUAGACGAACUGCCGUUGACAAAACGGAGGAAGGUGGGAUGACGUCAAAUCAUCAUGCCCCUUAUGUUCUGGGCUACACACGUGCUACAAUGGCCGGUACAGACGGACGCAAAGCCGCGAGGUGGAGCAAAUCCUAAAAAGCCGGUCUCAGUUCGGAUUGCAGGCUGCAAUUCGCCUGCAUGAAGUCGGAAUCGCUAGUAAUCGCAGGUCAGCAUACUGCGGUGAAUACGUUCCCGGGCCUU
rnacentral:rRNA from 1 species